CGUGGAACGAGGGAGAGCGAGGAGGCGAUAGCGAGCAUGUGAACGAGUGAGCAAGGUGAUGAUGAUUACUAAUUCCACCACCUACCCUCUCGCUCGGGACUCUCGGCAAGGGGGUGGGCGGCGGAAACACAGGCCGAGGUGUAGACGAGGCGGGCAGGAACAGGAAGGACAGUUUGUUCUUGGCUGUUUUCGGGAUUCGAUCGCGACUGUGUGUCUGUUGAAGAUUGGUUUUUUGACCGUGGGAGGAUUUCGAUUAGCAUGAAGGUGACCGUGGUGUUGGUGGUAGCGGCUGUGUGCCUGGGUGUUAUGGGUUCCUGGGUGGAAGGAACUUUCUCGUGGUUUACUUCUUCCCCUGACCUGCCCUCGUUGACACUGCCCGACAUAUGUGGAACGAGGGUGUUCGUGGCAGAGAACGAGACAACGCACCCAGCAACAAACACUACGAACUCUACGAACGAAACCUUGGUGUCUGCUAUAGAUGAGCAAGACGGCGAUGGAGGACGUCCAAAAAUGCUCACGGACACUCCCUGGCCGUGGGUUGUGCGUAUCGGCGACAGGGCUGUCGGGGUGUUACUGUCACAGCAACACGUGGUCACGCUGGAACACUGUCUCGAGGACUUCAGCUUGUGGUAUGGAGGGUUUUCUAGUUUCACCGUCCAAGUUGGGGAAGGAAGCAUACUAGUGCCGAGGGUACAGGCUCAGGGCAGCGAGGGUGGUGC